rnacentral:rRNA from 1 species
UACAGAGGGUGCAAGCGUUAAUCGGAAUUACUGGGCGUAAAGCGUGCGCAGGCGGUGAUGUAAGACAGGUGUGAAAUCCCCGGGCUUAACCUGGGAACUGCAUUUGUGACUGCAUCGCUGGAGUGCGGCAGAGGGGGAUGGAAUUCCGCGUGUAGCAGUGAAAUGCGUAGAUAUGCGGAGGAACACCAAUGGCGAAGGCAGCCCCCUGGGUUAACACUGACGCUCAUGCACGAAAGCGUGGGGAGCAAACAGG